CCUACGGGGUGCAGCAGUGAGGAAUAUUGGUCAAUGGACGCAAGUCUGAACCAGCCAUGCCGCGUGCAGGAAGACGGCUCUAUGAGUUGUAAACUGCUUUUGUACGAGGGUAAACGCAGAUACGCGUAUCUGUCUGAAAGUAUCGUACGAAUAAGGAUCGGCUAACUCCGUGCCAGCAGCCGCGGUAAUACGGAGGAUUCAAGCGUUAUCCGGAUUUAUUGGGUUUAAAGAGUUCGGAGGCGGUAUGUUAAGUCUGGUGUUAAAUGCAGAAGCUCAACUUCUGUUCGGCACUGGAUACUGGCAAACUAGAAUGCGGUAGAGGUAAAGGGAAUUCCUGGUGUAGCGGUGAAAUGCUUAGAUAUCAGGAGGAACAUCGGUGGCGUAAGCGCUUUACUGGGCCGUAAUUGACGCUGAGGAACGAAAGCCAGGGUAGCAAAUGGGAUUAGAUACCCCAGUAGUC
rnacentral:rRNA from 1 species